rnacentral:rRNA from 1 species
AGGCAGCAGUAAGGAAUCUUCCGCAAUGGACGAAAGUCCGACGGAGCAACGCCGCGUGAGCGAAGAAGGCCUUCGGGUCGUAAAGCUCUGUUGUUAGGGAAGAACAAGUAACGCAGUAACUGGCGUUACCUUGACGGUACCUAACGAGAAAGCCACGGCUAACUACGUGCCAGCAGCCGCGGUAAUACGUAGGUGGCAAGCGUUGUCCGGAAUUAUUGGGCGUAAAGCGCGCGCAGGCGGUUCCUUAAGUCUGAUGUGAAAGCCCACGGCUCAACCGUGGAGGGUCAUUGGAAACUGAGGGACUUGAGUGCAGAAGAGGAGAGCGGAAUUCCACGUGUAGCGGUGAAAUGCGUAGAGAUGUGGAGGAACACCAGUGGCGAAGGCGGCUCUCUGGUCUGUAACUGACGCUGAGGCGCGAAAGCGUGGGGAGCAAACAGGAUUAGAUACCCCAGUAGUCC